AACGAACGCUGGCGGCACGCCUAACACAUGCAAGUCGAACGAAGUAGCAAUACUUAGUGGCAGACGGGUGAGUAACAUGUGGGUAUCUACCCUUUGGCCUGGAAUAACACGAGGAAACUUGUGCUAAUACCGGAUAAGUCUUUACGGAGAAAGCUUUAUGCACCAUUGGAUGAGCCCGCACUUGAUUAGCUUGUUGGUAGGGUAAUGGCCUACCAAGACUAUGAUCAAUAGCUGAUUUGAGAGGAUGAUCAGCCACAUUGGGACUGAGACACGGCCCAAACUCCUACGGGAGGCAGCAGUGGGGAAUCUUGCACAAUGGAGGAAACUCUGAUGGAGCGAUGCCGCGUGAGUGAAGAAGGCCUUUGGGUUGUAAAGCUCUUUCGUCGGGGAAGAAAAUGACUGUACCCGAAUAAGAAGGUCCGGCUAACUUCGUGCCAGCAGCCGCGGUAAUACGAAGGGACCUAGCGUAGUUCGGAAUUACUGGGCUUAAAGAGUUCGUAGGUGGUUGAAAAAGUUAGUGGUGAAAUCCCAGAGCUUAACUCUGGAACUGCCAUUAAAACUUUUCAGCUAGAGUAUGAUAGAGGAAAGCAGAAUUUCUAGUGUAGAGGUGAAAUUCGUA
rnacentral:rRNA from 1 species